CACGUAGGGCGCAAGCGUUGUCCGGAAUUAUUGGGCGUAAAGAGCUCGUAGGCGGUCUGUUGCGUCCGCUGUGAAAACUCGGGGCUUAACCCCGAGCCUGCAGUGGAUACGGGCAGACUAGAGGUAGGUAGGGGGGAAUGGAAUUCCCGGUGUAGCGGUGAAAUGCGCAGAUAUCGGGAGGAACACCGGUGGCGAAGGCGGUUCUCUGGGCCCUACCUGACGCUGAGGAGCGAAAGCGUGGGGAGCGAACAGG
rnacentral:rRNA from 1 species